AUGGAGGGAGCACUUGUCACCUCCAACUUCAGCAUGCCUGAUCUCUACCCUGCCAAAGCCAAUGCUGCUCAUGCUGCGAGAUCGAGGAGGCUCUCCUACAUCUCCCCCGCUGCCUCUUCUGCUGCUGCUCCGAACCCCAGCUACAGAAGGAGGAAGGGCACGUCGCCCCCGCCGCCGUGGGCUGCCGCCACCGCCACCGUCCUCACCUCGCCGCCCAAGCCGGUCGAGCAACAAGAAACGGAAGAGCACCUGGUCGACACGUCCGUGAACAAUGCAACUGGUACACGAGUUGCUACCGCGAGAACGAGCAGGGCAUCCGAUGCGCCGCGCCAGGCGGCUCGGUCGUCCAGGCCUCGCCGCCGGCCCGUCACUUCGCUACAGGCGGCGUUCUGCAACGCGCUGGAGGAGGCGAUCAACACGUUCGUCGACCCGCCGGUGCUGCGUCCGUCGGUGGACCCGCGGCACGUGCUGUCCGCCAACUUCGCGCCCGUGGACGAGCUGCCGCCCACGCCCUGCCCCGUGGUGCGCGGCGUCAUCCCGCGCUGCCUCGCCGGCGGCGCCUACAUCCGCAACGGGCCCAACCCGCAGCAUCUCCCGCGCGGGCCGCACCACCUCUUCGACGGCGACGGCAUGCUGCACUCCCUGCUCCUCCCGACGGCGCCCGACUCCGACCCCGUCCUCUGCUCCCGCUACGUGCAGACGUACAAGUACAUCGUGGAGCGCAACGCGGGCGAGCCGGUCUUGCCCAACGUCUUCUCCGGCUUCCACGGCCUGGCCGGGAUGGCGCGCGGCGCCGUCACGGCGGCCAGGGUGCUGACAGGCCAGAUGAACCCGAUGGAGGGCGUGGGGCUCGCCAACACCAGCCUCGCCGUCUUCGGCGGCCGCCUCUACGCACUCGGCGAGUCGGACCUCCCGUACGCCGUGCGCGUCGACCCGGCCACCGGUGAGGUGACCACGCUCGGCAGGUGCGACUUCGGUGGCCGCCUCAGCAUGGGCAUGACCGCGCACCCCAAGAAGGACCCCAUCACCGGCGAGCUCUUCGCGUUCCGCUACGGCCCCAUGCCGCCGUUCGUCACCUAUUUCCGGUUCGACCCUGCAGGGAACAAGGGCGCCGACGUGCCCAUCUUCUCCGUGAAGCAACCGUCUUUCCUGCACGACUUCGCCGUGACGGAGCAUUAUGCGAUAUUCCCGGAGAUACAAAUCGUGAUGAACCCCAUGGGCAUGGUGGUGGGCGGCGGCUCGCCCGUCGGGGCGGACCCCGGCAUGGUGCCUCGCCUCGGCGUGAUCCCCAAGUACGCCGCGGACGAGUCGGAGAUGCGGUGGUUCGAGGUGCCGGGGUUCAACAUGAUGCACUCGGUGAACGCGUGGGAGGAGGCCGGCGGCGACGAGAUCGUGAUGGUGGCACCCAACAUCCUGUCCAUCGAGCACACGCUGGAGCGCAUGGAGCUGAUCCACGCCUCCGUGGAGCUGGUGCGCAUCAACCUCCGCACCGGCAACGUCACACGCACGCCGCUCGCGGCGGCGAACCUCGACUUCGGGGUGAUCAACCCGAGCUGCCUCGGCCGCCGCAACCGCUACGGCUACUUCGGUGUUGGCGACCCCAUGCCCAAGAUCGGCGGGGUGGCCAAGCUCGACUUCGACCGCGCUGGCCACGGCGACUGCACCGUGGCGCGCCGGGACUUCGGGCCGGGGUGCUUCGCCGGGGAGCCGUUUUUCGUCCCUGAUGACGUCGAGGGGAACGGCGACGAGGACGACGGCUACGUGGUGUGCUACGUGCACGACGAGGGCACCGGCGACAACAGGUUCGUGGUGAUGGACGCGCAGUCGCCCGACCUGGACAUCGUCGCCGAGGUGCAGCUUCCCUCCCGCGUCCCCUACGGCUUCCACGGCCUAUUCGUCACUCAGGCCGAGCUCCGGUCACAGCACCAAUGA
rnacentral:rRNA from 1 species